rnacentral:misc_RNA from 1 species
GGGAUUAGGCCAUACACCAAGAUCAUCUGAUCCAGCCCUAGGCCACUCCUCAGCAGUUGGUCUAGUAAUGGAAAGAGGCUGAAGGGGUGGCAAACAAGCCCGUGCUUUGCUGUUCCAUUGUGGUUUGGCACUGGACUUGGUAGGUGACCUGUCGGACCACGAAAUAGACCGUGCAUAUGUUUUCCGAUUCCCACCAGCUGGUACCCU